UUUUCAGAAACCGUCUACAACUUCAGCCAAAUUGUUAAUAGGUCAAUGAGUUCCUCUUAAAUUCUAUAUAUAUAUAUAUAUAUUCUUUCUUGUCACAGUUGGAAAGAAAUGAAAUUCUUUUCUUCUUAUUCCAAGAUUUUCAUGUAUUUCAUUUUUUUAUUUUUUUUUUGGGUAAGGUCACUUCUUUCAAAGGUUACAAGGAAAACCCAAACACUUUUUAUAACUUCGGUUAAGCAAAAUGGAGCACUUGAAGACCAAAAUUCACAAUGGAUUGUGUGAAGUUCUGCAUAUUUCGAUGGAUAUGUGCAGUCGACUCAACAACGGAUAUGUGCAGUACACCUUGGAGAAUUUUUGCAAGGAUAGCAUUUUAAUCGAGCAACUUUCUCAGUGACAAAAUCACUCACUGAAACUCAGUCAUGCAAAUAAGAGGAAAACAUUAGCAGAGAUAUGGGAGGUUAGAUGUCGCCAUUGACAGUGUUGACGUCCUUCAUGGAAAGGAAGACUUCACAGUGGAGAAUGGCAGUGAUGAGGCCAUUAAAACUACCCACUUCUAUGAAAGAAUACAGGGAGCAUUUGCUCAAGUUUACAGGUAAAGUCAAGGAAUCAAUAGAUUUCUCAUAAAUGAAUUUUGUCACAUUCUACGCGCCUCUCUAUUUGAGGCUAUCAACUUCUAUAUUUAUGAAAAAUACAGGGAGCUAAAGCUCGAAUUUACUGGUUAUUUGGAAAGAUUGUUGCUGGUGCUACUGCAUGAAUUACAGUUGUUAUACUUUCCAUGCCUAUGGACAGUGUGAGUAGUAUUUUAGUAUUUUCAAUCUUUUUGCUUCUUGAUUUCUUUUUCAAAGUAUAUAAGUUAAACCCCAUUGAGUUAUAUAUGUAUGUUUUUAUGUACUAUAUUUUCUCAUCUUUGAACUACAACAUCAAAGUAGUUGUUCUAUAUGCUGUCUAGAUUGUUAAAUUAUACUCGAGAAUUCAUUAAAGGACUAGAUUUAAUGAAUUCUCAAUUGAUUAAAAUGAAAGUUGACAAUGAAGGACAAAUAGAAUAUGGAGGGAAUAAUUUUCUUUUUUAAAAUUAAAUUUCUAAUUCAGCCUUACUUAGAUGAGUAGCAUUGAGAAUCAUUCUCUUCCACCAGCUGAAAGUCAAAUACAACUGGAUGAUUUUUUCUAUGUGGUCAAUGACAGUCGCGUGGAAUAAUGAGAAUGCUUGGAUUCCUUCUCAAGUUUUAUUACAUAUUUUUUUUUUUGAGGUUUUCCUAUUGAAUGUAUUUAUUCUAUUGUUGAUUUGUUAUCAAAUACAUGUAUCUCCUCAAUAACAUUUGGUACACUGGAUCUCAAGAAGUUCUAUACCAUGUUAAGAUCUACAUGUUCCUUAGUCCUUUUGAGUCUCUUGGUGAAAACUGUUUGUUUUGUGUACAACGUGAGCUACAGGUAUGUGCUUUUGGCAUCUCUUUCAAAAAUUUGUGCUCCUGAGGCCCAUAAAAUAAUGAUUGAAAAUGCAGGUUUGUUUGCGUGCAUCGACAUCGCUAUCACAAGCUUUAAUAGUCCAUUAGAAUCACUUGGUUGACAUUCGAUAAGUUUUUCAAGUCCUCAAUCCUUAAAGGAAAAACAUGUCAAUUCUUUAAGCCGGCCUGAUUUUAAAUGCUACCCCGAUGUCAUUACUUUUUCUUAAUUUUGUCUUCUAAUCUUGAUAUCUAAUCAUCCCUUUUGUUUAUGUGGAUCUUCCA